UACGUAGGGUGCGAGCGUUAAUCGGAAUUACUGGGCGUAAAGCGUGCGCAGGCGGUUGUGUAAGUCAGAUGUGAAAUCCCCGGGCUCAACCUGGGAACUGCAUUUGAGACUGCACGGCUAGAGUGUGACAGAGGGGGGUAGAAUUCCACGUGUAGCAGUGAAAUGCGUAGAGAUGUGGAGGAAUACCGAUGGCGAAGGCAGCCCCCUGGGUUACUACUGACGCUCAUGCACGAAAGCGUGGGGAGCAAACAGG
rnacentral:rRNA from 1 species